AUGUACAUUCCUACAACAUAGGGUUAAUUCACUUGAUUCCAUUAGAACUGUGUAGUUAAGCGCACUAGGCUAGAAUAGUACUGGGAUGGGAGACCGCAAGGGAAUUCUUAGUGUUUUACAUG
rnacentral:rRNA from 1 species